rnacentral:misc_RNA from 1 species
GAAACAGUUUGCACCCCUGUGACACCUGCUCUGUUUGCCUUGAUUUUACACAACACACAAAGCUUUUAUCUGGGAGCAGGGAGGAGAAAAAAGGGCUUUGAUUUUGGGAGGGGGAGACGUAUUGAUUUUCUUGACAUUGGGCUCUCCUUGGCAUUAGAGGUGUUCUUUCCUCUCAGCUCUGAUUACCUAUGUGCAGAGUAAGCUGGGC